UAUAAUAAAUAGGUCGAAAACAAAGUCUAUAAGCAAAGCGUCAUCGUUCAUUCCACCACCACCACAUUCCUCACUUUCUUUAUCAUUUUCCUUUGCUCUUUCUUCACCGUCAUCGUUUUCUUCCAAAAAGUGAUAUCCAGGUGGAAUGGCCAAGAGUUCAUUCAAGCAAGAGCAUGAUCUUGAGAAAAGGCGUGUUUUGGCUGCUAGGAUUA